rnacentral:rRNA from 1 species
GACAGGGGGCUCGAGCGUUAAUCGGAAUCACUGGGCGUAAAGGGUGCGCAGGCGGCCAAGUGUGUGAGGCGUGAAAGCCCGGGGCUUAACCCCGGAAUUGCACCUCAAACUACAUGGCUAGAGCAUUGGAGAGGGUAGCGGAAUUCACGGUGUAGCAGUGAAAUGCGUAGAUAUCGUGAGGAACACCAGAGGCGAAGGCGGCUACCUGGACAAUUGCUGACGCUCAGGCACGAAAGCGUGGGGAGCAAAAGGG